rnacentral:misc_RNA from 1 species
UUUUAGCCCCGAUUGAGCAAUUGUUGGAGCUCUUUUAUUUGUCUUUUUGUUUGAACUGACAAAUAAAAAGCGACUUGCGAAAGCGGGAAAGAGC